CAGUCGAACGAGAACGGACUAUAGCUUGCUAUAGUUGUCAGCUAAGUGGCGCACGGGUGAGUAAUAUAUAGGUAAUGUGCCCUAGAGAGGGGGAUAACAGUUGGAAACGACCGCUAACACCCCAUAUGCCCUUAAGACAUAAGUCUGCAGGGGAAAUAUUUAUAGCUCUAGGAUCGGCCUGUACGGUAUCAGCUAGUUGGUGAGGUAAUGGCUCACCAAGGCAAUGACGCCUAACUGGUUUGAGAGGGUGAUCAGUCACACUGGAACUGAGACACGGUCCAGACUCCUACGGGAGGCAGCAGUGGGGAAUAUUGCACAAUGGGGGAAACCCUGACGCAGCAACGCCGCGUGGAGGAUGACACAUUUCGGUGCGUAAACUCCUUUUAUAUAGGAAGAUAAUGACGGUACUAUAUGAAUAAGCGCCGGCUAACUCCGUGCCAGCAGCCGCGGUAAUACGGAGGGCGCAAGCGUUACUCGGAAUCACUGGGCGUAAAGAGCGUGUAGGCGGGUUAAUAAGUUUGAAGUGAAAUCCUAUGGCUCAACCAUAGAACUGCUUUGAAAACUGUUAACCUAGAAUAUGGGAGAGGUAGAUGGAAUUUCUGG
rnacentral:rRNA from 1 species